rnacentral:rRNA from 1 species
AUGGGGAUGCAAGCAUUGAUGGAUAUUCGAUGCCCGAAUCUAGUGAACCCUGUAUGCAAUUGGCUUGGCGAGAUAUAUGACCCUCCAUCUAGGCAAUUCGUCAUUCCGGGACGUGGAAGACUCCCUUUGGACGAGGAAUCUGUAUUCUGCACUUUGGGUGUCCCCUGUGGAGAAAUCAAAGUUUCGUAUGAGGUGAACAAUGAGAUUGAGGAAGUUUUGUUCCCCCGUUUGUUUCCUGGAAUGGCAUCCAUGCCUAAUACGACUGUGUUGGCAACUUCGCUGGAGGGCAUGACAACCCAUGGCAAGGUAUUUAAGAUAAGGUGUACCAUUACUGACUUCCUACAUGAUUCAUUCUCAAAUAAGAUGUACCAGAAGGGCUGCCGCUUGCAUCUAAUGGUAUUUUUUACUGUUUUUGCAAAUGCUCUUACCAUGGUUUAUUCGUUCCUCAAUCACAUUACAGAGGACAGAACUUUUUCGUUUGUGUAUAGUAUUUUCAAGUUUGAAAUGUAA